AUGUCGGCUCAUCACAUCCUGGGGCUGUAGUAGGUCCCAAGGGUUGGGCUGUUCGCCCAUUAAAGUGGUCCGCGAGCUGGGUUCAGAACGUCGUGAGACAGUUCGGUCCCUAUCCGUCGCAGGCGUAGGAAAUUUGAGAAGGCCUGUCCUUAGUACGAGAGGACCGGGAUGGACGUACCUCUGGUGUACCAGUUGUCCUGCCAAGGGCAUGGCUGGGUAGCUAUGUACGGAAUGGAUAAGCG
rnacentral:rRNA from 1 species